rnacentral:rRNA from 1 species
UUCGGGGGAAAACGGACAGAGCCCGUGAAUCCGGGCGAUAGAAUUCAAAAUUGGUGACGAUCACAAGUCGUCGCUAGUUUGAUAUUUCUAUCGCCGCGGACGUCGCGACCCGUUUGGUGUUGGUCAAGCGAGACGUGUGAAAGUUCGUUGAUAUGUGUUGCUUGCAGCGCAUAUUACGAGUACACGUUUUCUGGCUAACUCGCCAGACGGUAAAAGAGGUGUCUGURAUGACUUCAAGUUGUUACAGCGCCGGUCUGCGACGAAUCUUCGGGUUUCUUUCCGACCCGUCUUGAAACACGGACCAAGGAGUCUAACGUGCGCGCGAGUCGCGGGGUGUCGAGUAAUGGUGGAAACAUUGUUGCUCGUUACGAUACGAAACCCGUAUUAUGAAAGGCGCAAUGAAAGUGAAUUCCUUUAUUGGAAUGGGGAAGAUGGCGUUACCGAGUUCACGUUCCGCGAUCAAGUAUCGCGGCCGGUCGUCCGCAUUCCCAGGGCGUUCCAACGGCCCGGCGGCGUUGCGGAUCGUUGUUUCUUCGGGAGCAGCGGUCGGGCGUCGUCGAACCGGGGCGCACCUAUAGCGUGCACGUUGGUACCCGAAAGAUGGUGAACUAUGCCUGGCCAGGAUGAAGUCAGGGGAAACCCUGAUGGAGGUCCGCAGCGAUUCUGACGUGCAAAUCGAUCGUCUGAGCUGGGUAUAGGGGCGAAAGACUAAUCGAACCAUCUGUAUGCCCCC